rnacentral:rRNA from 2 species
CAGUGAUAAACUGGAGGAAGGUGGGGAUGACGUCAAGUCAUCAUGGCCCUUACGAGUAGGGCUACACACGUGCUACAAUGGCAUAUACAAAGAGAAGCGACCUCGCGAGAGCAAGCGGACCUCAUAAAGUAUGUCGUAGUCCGGAUUGGAGUCUGCAACUCGACUCCAUGAAGUCGGAAUCGCUAGUAAUCGUAGAUCAGAAUGCUACGGUGAAUACGUUCCCGGGCCUUGUACACACCGCCCGUCACACCAUGGGAGUGGGUUGCAAAAGAAGUAGGUAGCUUAACCUUCGGGAGGGCGCUUACCACUUUGUGAUUCAUGACUGGGGUGAAGUCGUAACAAGGUAACCGUAGGGGAACCUGCGGUUGGAUCACCUCCUUACCU